CCUACGGGUGGCAGCAGUAGGGAAUCUUGCUCAAUGGGGGAAACCCUGAAGCAGCAACGCCGCGUGGAGGAUGAAGGUUUUAGGAUUGUAAACUCCUUUUGUGAGAGAACAUAAUGACGGUAUCUCACGUAUAAUCUCUGGCUAACUCCGUGUCAGCAUCCGCGGUUAUCCGGAGGGUGCAAGCGUUACUCGGAAUGACUGGGCGUAAGGAGUGCGGAGGCGGGCUUGUAAGUCAGCUGUGAAAUCCUGUGGCUUAACAACAGAACUGCAUUUGAAACUGUGAGUCUAGAGUGUGGGAGAGGUAGGUGGAAUUCUUGGUGUAGGGGUAAAAUCCGUAGAUAUCAAGAGGAAUACUCAUUGCGAAGGCGACCUACUGGAACAUAACUGACGCUCAGGCGCGAAAGCGUGGGGAGCAAACAGGAUUAGAUACCCUUGUAGUC
rnacentral:rRNA from 1 species